GACGAACGCUGGCGGCGUGCUUAACACAUGCAAGUCGAGCGGUAAGGCCCUUUCGGGGGUACACGAGCGGCGAACGGGUGAGUAACACGUGGGUGACCUGCCCUCAGCUCUGGGAUAAGCCUGGGAAACCGGGUCUAAUACUGGAUAUGACUCCAUGACGCAUGUUGUGGGGUGGAAAGCCUUGUGCGGCUGAGGAUGGGCCCGCGGCCUAUCAGCUUGUUGGUGGGGUGANGGCCUACCAAGGCGACGACGGGUAGCCGGCCUGAGAGGCGACCGGCCACACUGGGACUGAGACACGGCCCAGACUCCUACGGGAGGCAGCAGU
rnacentral:rRNA from 1 species